rnacentral:rRNA from 1 species
GCAUGUAUCAGUACAAACCUUCAUAAGGUGAAACCGCGAACGGCUCAUUAUAACAGCUAUAAUUUACUAGACCUUGAGCAACUACUUGGAUACCUGUGGUAAUUCUAGAGCUAAUACAUGCACCGAAGUUGUUCCUUGCGGAGCAAUGCAUUUAUUUGAGCAAAACCAGGCGGCUUCGGCCGUUUCUGUUGAUUCAGAAUAACUAAGCUGAUCGUAUGGGCUUGUCCCGACGACGUGUCUUUCAAGUGUCUGCCUUAUCAACUUUCGAUGGUAGUGUACGUGACUACCAUGGUGUUGACGGGUAACGGAGGAUAAGGGUUCGACUCCGGAGAAGGGGCCUGAGAAAUGGCCACUACGUCUAAGGAUGGCAGCAGGCGCGCAAAUUACCCACUCUCGGUUCGAGGAGGUAGUGACGAAAAAUAACAAGGCCGUUCUCUUUGAGGCCGGCCAUUGGAAUGGGUACAACUUAAACCCUUUAACGAGUAUCAAUGAGAGGGCAAGUCUGGUGCCAGCAGCCGCGGUAAUUCCAGCUCUCAAAAUGCAUAGAACCAUUGCUGCGGUUAAAAAGCUCGUAGUUGGAUCUGUGCCGGCGACGUGGUCCGCCCUAACCGGCGGUACUGCGCUCGUCGGCUUUGGGCCGGUCUUCGGUCGGUCGCCUUAACUGGUGGCCGCUCGUGGCUGGCUGGUUUACUUUGAGCAAAUCAGAGUGCUCAGCACAGGCGUCUCGCCGGAAUGUUCGUGCAUGGAAUAAUAGAAAAGGAUUUCGGUCCUCUUUUAUUGGUUUUGUGGACUGAGAUAAUGGUUAACAGAGACGGACGGGGGCAUUCGUAUUGCUGCGUGAGAGGUGAAAUUCUUGGACCGCAGCAGGACGGACUACAGCGAAAGC